AGAGUUUGAUCAUGGCUCAGAAUCAACGCUGGCGGCGUGCCUAACACAUGCAAGUCGAACGAGAAAGCGGGGGCAACUCCGUGAGUAAAGUGGCGACCGGGUGAGUAACACGUGACUAACCUACCCUUGAGUGGGGGAUAACUGAGGGAAACCUUAGCUAAUACCGCAUAAUACCCACGGGUCAAAGGAGCAAUUCGCUCGAGGAGGGGGUCGCGGCCGAUUAGUUAGUUGGCGGGGUAAUGGCCCACCAAGACGAUGAUCGGUAUCCGGCCUGAGAGGGCGCACGGACACACUGGAACUGAAACACGGUCCAGACUCCUACGGGAGGCAGCAGUGGGGAAUUUUGCGCAAUGGGGGAAACCCUGACGCAGCAACGCCGCGUGGAGGAUGAAGUCCUUCGGGACGUAAACUCCUUUCGAUCGGGACGAUUAUGACGGUACCGGAAGAAGAAGCCCCGGCUAACUUCGUGCCAGCAGCCGCGGUAAUACGAGGGGGGCGAGCGUUGUUCGGAAUUAUUGGGCGUAAAGGGUGCGUAGGCGGUUUGGUAAGUCUUUUGUGAAAUCUCUGGGCUCAACUCAGAGUCUGCAGGAGAAACUGCCGGGCUGGAGUGUGGGAGAGGUGAGUGGAAUUUCCGGUGUAGCGGUGAAAUGCGUAGAUAUCGGAAGGAACACCUGUGGUGAAAGCGGCUCACUGGACCACAACUGACGCUGAUGCACGAAAGCUAGGGGAGCAAACAGGAUUAGAUACCCUAGUAGUCC
rnacentral:rRNA from 1 species